rnacentral:rRNA from 1 species
CCGGAUUAAUACCGCAUACGCUCUACGGAGGAAAGGGGGGGAUCUUAGGACCUCUCGCUACAGGGGCGGCCGAUGGCAGAUUAGCUAGUUGGUGGGGUAAAGGCCUACCAAGGCGACGAUCUGUAGCUGGUCUGAGAGGACGACCAGCCACACUGGGACUGAGACACGGCCCAGACUCCUACGGGAGGCAGCAGUGGGGAAUUUUGGACAAUGGGCGAAAGCCUGAUCCAGCAAUGCCGCGUGUGUGAAGAAGGCCUUCGGGUUGUAAAGCACUUUUGUCCGGAAAGAAAUCAUCCCUGCUAAUACUGGGGGUGGAUGACGGUACCGGAAGAAUAAGCACCGGCUAACUACGUGCCAGCAGCCGCGGUAAUACGUAGGGUGCAAGCGUUAAUCGGAAUUACUGGGCGUAAAGCGUGCGCAGGCGGUCCGCUAAGACAGAUGUGAAAUCCCCGGGCUUAACCUGGGAACUGCAUUUGUGACUGGCGGGCUAGAGUAUGGCAGAGGGGGGUAGAAUUCCACGUGUAGCAGUGAAAUGCGUAGAGAUGUGGAGGAAUACCGAUGGCGAAGGCAGCCCCCUGGGCCA